rnacentral:tRNA from 1 species
UGGCUCAGUGGUUAAGAGCAUUGGCUGCUCUUCCCUCUUCCAGAGGACCUGGGUUCAAUUCCCAG